rnacentral:rRNA from 1 species
UACGUAGGGCGCGAGCGUUGUCCGGAAUUAUUGGGCGUAAAGAGCUUGUAGGCGGUUUGUCGCGUCUGCUGUGAAAGGCCGGGGCUUAACCCCGUGUAUUGCAGUGGGUACGGGCAGACUAGAGUGCAGUAGGGGAGACUGGAAUUCCUGGUGUAGCGGUGGAAUGCGCAGAUAUCAGGAGGAACACCGAUGGCGAAGGCAGGUCUCUGGGCUGUAACUGACGCUGAGAAGCGAAAGCAUGGGGAGCGAA